rnacentral:rRNA from 1 species
CUACGGGACGCUCCAGGCGGGAAACCUUUACAAUGCACGAAAGUGUGAUAAGGGGAUCCAAAGUGCUUACCUAAUGGGUGGGCUUUUGUUAAGUGUAAACAGCUUAACGAAUAAGUGGUGGGUAAGACCGGUGCCAGCCGCCGCGGUAACACCGGCGCCACGAGUGGGGAUCAUUUUUAUUGGGCCUAAAGCGUCCGUAGCCGAUUUGGAAAGUCUUUUGUUAAAUCGUUGGGCUUAACUCAGCGCCUGCAAAAGAUACUGCCAGGUUAGAGAUCGGGAGGAGACAGAAGUAUUCUUUGGGAAGCGGUAAAAUGUGAUAAUCCUUAGAGGACUACCUGUGGCGAAGGCGUCUGUCUAGAACGAUUCUGACGGUGAGGGACGAAAGCUGGGGGAGCAAACCGGAUUAGAUACCCCUGUAGUC